GAUAGAUCAAUGUAGGUGGGAAGUCGGCAAACUGGAUUCCGUAACUUCGGGAAAAGGAUUGGCUCGUGAGGCUGAGUGCGACAGCCGGGUACUGCAGGAUAACGGGCGUGUGCACUCGUCCGUGGAGAGCGCUUGGAGCUGCAUGUUCGCGGUUGCACAGCCAAACAGCCAGUUCAGAAUGGCACGGUGAUGGGUAUCCAGACUGUCUCAAUUAAAACAUGCAUUGUGAUGCCUGGCUGGGUGUUGACACAAUGUGAUUUGCCAGCAGCUGCUCUGAAGAACGUGAAGAAAUUCAAGCAAGCGCGGUAACGGCGGGAGUAACUAUGACUUGCUCUUAAGGUAGCAAAUGCUCGCAUCUAUUAGUGAACGCUUGACAUUCGAAUUGGAUUAACGGGGAUUCGCCUCUGUCACUAUGAUCUACUACUAGUAGCGAAACCAUACAGCACGGGAACGCGGCUUGGGAGCACUGGGGAAAGAAGACCCUGUUGUACUUGACUCAGUUUGGCAAUUGGUAAGGCGAUAUACGGAGGUGCACGCAUAGGUGGAGAGUCAGCCUUUCCGGGUUGGCUCGGCCUCUUGAGAUACCAUCUUACUGUUGCUAUUCCAUGAUCGGCGUGGAACAAGCCGCGGGGCCAGGUCCGGGGUCGUACCGCCACUCCCUCGCCGGGGUGUAAGCGUGUGGCUCGCCUGAAGCUUGCCAAUGCGCUGUUUCUAGCUCCGCGUUCAGCCAUGUCGCUGGGUGGUGCAACGGGUGGUGUGUCGUCAGGUACACGACGCGCGUGUCACCGGCGCCGCCGCCGCCGUGGCCGCGAAGGGUUCAAGCGUGGCGCACGUCGGUCCGUCCGCGUGUUCUGUCGCGUUCGACUGUCUUGGCCGAUCCCGCCUUCGUUCUUCGGUUUCUGGUGCGCUUUGGCUCGAAGACAUUGAAUAAACCCUCAUCGGUCCAAUCUGGAACAGUGCCAGGUGCGGAAGUUUGACUGGGUGGUACAUCUCCAAAACGAAUACUGUGUCAAACGGUCAGCUCAGAGUGGACUGAAACCAGCCGUUGGAGCAUAAAGGCCAAAGCUGGUUGAUCCUAACGUUCAGUAACACCGGGAAAAGCGAAAGCUUGGCUACGUCCUUUUGGUAUAACGAGUUUUUAUGCAAGAGGUGUCAGAAAGUAACACAGGGCUAACUGGCUUGUGCGCAAGCGUUCAUAGCGACGGUGGAUUAUGAUCCUUCGAUGUCGCUCUUCCUCAUCAUUGUAAAGCAAAGAUUUACCAAUGCGUAAAGAUAGUUCACCUUUUCAAAGGAACGUGAUCCUGGGUUUUAGACCGUUCGUAGCAGGUUAGUUACCCUGACUGGUGUGCAUUGUUUGUCGCUAUCUUAACGGAAUUCCGUGCAGUACGAGAGCGAACCACAGGUACGGAACACUGGCUCAAUACUAUUCGAACGGACUAUGGUUAUGACGCUACGUCCGCUGGAUUAUGCCUGAACGCCUCUAGGGUCGUAUCAAUCNNNNNNNNNNNNNNNNNNNNNNNNNUAGAAAAUUUUCUGGACUUAGAAAAUUUUUUGGACUUAGGAAAAUUUUUCAACACUUGUAAAAUUUUUUGUUCCUUCUUUGAGAAGAAUACUUUCCACUAUUAGCUUCUUUCUCUUUUUCUUCUAGUUGUCUUCUUAUUUUCGGUCCGAGAG
rnacentral:rRNA from 1 species